rfam:Triticum aestivum genome assembly, contig: Triticum_aestivum_CS42_TGACv1_scaffold_081528_1DS
AUAGUACUCCCUCCGUCCCAAAAUUCUUGUCUUAGAUUUGUCUAAAUACGGAUGUAUCUAGUUAUGUUUUAGUGUUAGAUACAUCUAUAUCUAGAAAAAUCUAAGAUAAGAAUUUUGGGACGGAGGGAGUGGAUC